AACGAACGCUGGCGGCAUGCCUAACACAUGCAAGUCGAACGAGACCUUCGGGUCUAGUGGCGCACGGGUGCGUAACGCGUGGGAACCUGCCCUUAGGUUCGGAAUAACUCCCCGAAAGGGGUGCUAAUACCGGAUAAUGUCUUCGGACCAAAGAUUUAUCGCCUUUGGAUGGGCCCGCGUUGGAUUAGCUAGUUGGUAGGGUAAAAGCCUACCAAGGCGACGAUCCAUAGCUGGUCAGAGAGGAUGAUCAGCCACACUGGGACUGAGACACGGCCCAGACCCCUCGGGGAGGGGCAGGGGGGGAAUGGUGAAAAGGGGCGGAAGGCUUGAACGACCACGGCGGGGGAAUGAAUGAGGCCUUUGGGGUAGAAAAGUUUUUUUACCCGGGAAAAUAGUGACGUGACCGGAAAAAAAAGCCCCGGCUAACUCCGUG
rnacentral:rRNA from 1 species